GGACUACAGGGGUUUCUAAUCCUGUUUGAUCCCCACACUUUCGUGCCUCAGCGUCAGUUACAGCCUAGUAAGCUGCCUUCGCUAUAGGUGUUCUUGACGAUAUCUAAGCAUUUCACCGCUACACCGUCAAUUCCGCCUACCUCAUCUGUACUCAAGCCUCGCAGUAUCAAUGGCACCUCGAUAGUUAAGCUACCGUAUUUCACCACUGACUUACAAAGCCGCCUACGCACCCUUUAAACCCAAUAAAUCCGGACAACGCUUGCCACCUACGUAUUACCGCGGCGGCUGGCAC
rnacentral:rRNA from 2 species